rnacentral:rRNA from 1 species
UCAGGACGAACGCUGGCGGCGUGCCUAAUACAUGCAAGUCGAACGAACUCUGGUAUUGAUUGGUGCUUGCAUCAUGAUUUACAUUUGAGUGAGUGGCGAACUGGUGAGUAACACGUGGGAAACCUGCCCAGAAGCGGGGGAUAACACCUGGAAACAGAUGCUAAUACCGCAUAACAACUUGGACCGCAUGGUCCGAGUUUGAAAGAUGGCUUCGGCUAUCACUUUUGGAUGGUCCCGCGGCGUAUUAGCUAGAUGGUGGGGUAACGGCUCACCAUGGCAAUGAUACGUAGCCGACCUGAGAGGGUAAUCGGCCACAUUGGGACUGAGACACGGCCCAAACUCCUACGGGAGGCAGCAGUAGGGAAUCUUCCACAAUGGACGAAAGUCUGAUGGAGCAACGCCGCGUGAGUGAAGAAGGGUUUCGGCUCGUAAAACUCUGUUGUUAAAGAAGAACAUAUCUGAGAGUAACUGUUCAGGUAUUGACGGUAUUUAACCAGAAAGCCACGGCUAACUACGUGCCAGCAGCCGCGGUAAUACGUAGGUGGCAAGCGUUGUCCGGAUUUAUUGGGCGUAAAGCGAGCGCAGGCGGUUUUUUAAGUCUGAUGUGAAAGCCUUCGGCUCAACCGAAGAAGUGCAUCGGAAACUGGGAAACUUGAGUGCAGAAGAGGACAGUGGAACUCCAUGUGUAGCGGUGAAAUGCGUAGAUAUAUGGAAGAACACCAGUGGCGAAGGCGGCUGUCUGGUCUGUAACUGACGCUGAGGCUCGAAAGUAUGGGUAGCAAACAGGAUUAGAUACCCUGGUAGUCCAUACCGUAAACGAUGAAUGCUAAGUGUUGGAGGGUUUCCGCCCUUCAGUGCUGCAGCUAACGCAUUAAGCAUUCCGCCUGGGGAGUACGGCCGCAAGGCUGAAACUCAAAGGAAUUGACGGGGGCCCGCACAAGCGGUGGAGCAUGUGGUUUAAUUCGAAGCUACGCGAAGAACCUUACCAGGUCUUGACAUACUAUGCAAAUCUAAGAGAUUAGACGUUCCCUUCGGGGACAUGGAUACAGGUGGUGCAUGGUUGUCGUCAGCUCGUGUCGUGAGAUGUUGGGUUAAGUCCCGCAACGAGCGCAACCCUUAUUAUCAGUUGCCAGCAUUAAGUUGGGCACUCUGGUGAGACUGCCGGUGACAAACCGGAGGAAGGUGGGGAUGACGUCAAAUCAUCAUGCCCCUUAUGACCUGGGCUACACACGUGCUACAAUGGAUGGUACAACGAGUUGCGAACUCGCGAGAGUAAGCUAAUCUCUUAAAGCCAUUCUCAGUUCGGAUUGUAGGCUGCAACUCGCCUACAUGAAGUCGGAAUCGCUAGUAAUCGCGGAUCAGCAUGC